rnacentral:rRNA from 1 species
UACGUAGGGUGCGAGCGUUGUCCGGAAUUAUUGGGCGUAAAGAGCUCGUAGGCGGUGUGUCACGUCGGCCGUGAAAACCUGCAGCUUAACUGUGGGCGUGCGGUCGAUACGGGCAUCACUGGAGUUCGGCAGGGGAGACUGGAAUUCCGGGUGUAGCGGUGGAAUGCGUAGAGAUCCGGAAGAACACCGGUGGCGAAGGCGGUUAGCUGGGCAGUUGCUGACACUGAGGCGCGACAGCGUGGGGAGCAAACAGG